rnacentral:rRNA from 1 species
GACGAACCGUGCGAACGUUGUUCGGAAUCACUGGGCUUAAAGGGCGCGUAGGCGGGUGACCAAGUCAGGGGUGAAAUCUUUCGGCCCAACCGGAAAAGUGCCUCUGAUACUGGUCGUCUUGAGGGAGGUAGGGGUCGAGGGAACUGGUGGUGGAGCGGUGAAAUGCGUAGAUAUCGAUCGGAACACCCAUGGCGAAGGCAGCUCGCUGGCCUGCAACUGACGCUGAGGCGCGAAAGCCGGGGGAGCGAACAGG